rnacentral:lncRNA from 1 species
AUAUGCUAACUGGAUGGUUUCACCCUCAGCGGCAAAAUUAAUGGACACAUUUGAUAGCUAACAUUCCUUUGUGAACGGUAAUGGACUCCCAAGGGGGAAGAAACAUGCCAAGAGCAUCAAGUCCACCGGCCCCUUUGUGCACAUCAUACUGGCCAAGACCAGCCUUAGGUGGCAGACUUGUUUUCUGUAGUUUGUUUUAGCUGGUUUCCAAAUGGUUUUACUUCAAAUAGCUGGUGGUCCUCCCUCCUGGUGGUCUGCCCUCCUAGCACACCUGCCCCAUUGGGUGGGUGCUCUGAGUCUCUGGUUAGAUCCCCUUUCCCUUUAGCAUUGGGUAGCACCUCUGUUGGUCUGCUCAUCACUAGCCACCACGAGCUCUGUGUCCACAUGUGUGGGGUCUGCCAUUCAUGACUUGGAUGAGAAAUUGUACCUGAACUGUCUGAUUUUCCUGGCUGAUAAAAAACCUACCACGUCCCCCCAAAAAUGUUUUAACAUGAAGCACACAUACAAACAACAUUGAUUGAAAAACCUGGCCAGAACGACCUGUCCUUGUCUAGAAUGAAAGCCUAGCAUAGGACUGGGUAGUUGCAUCCACCCGGGUCCACUAGGGCUGGAGGGGAGAAGGGAGCCUCCGGGCUGUCCUCGGCUCAAUAUAUGACAUCCUGAAUAUAGAUUUUUGGGUUUUUUAGCCAUGUAGCCUUUUCUUAGGAAAAUGUUUUGUUUCUGUCAUGGUUAAAUGGCUCUUAGAAUUAGCACAAUGGAGAGAUUUGGUGUUGCCUUUGCUAUAUACAAGGCAACUGGAAAGAAGUGACCCCACAUGACCUAGUCCCCCUGUUGAGCCCUCGGCAACAUUCACGCUGCGUGACUCCGACUCACUGACCAGAACAGGGUGAAGAAGCGGGGCAUUUGGAGUAGAGUUGCCUUCAGGUCCAGUAUUGCUGUCAUCAGAGGCCUUGAGCCACAAAUUCUGCACCCCCAGCAAGCCAGUCUGCAGUACACCCUACCCACCAAAGAGUGUGCCCACCCUCUGCUUGGGGACAGGUGGGUCUGUCUUGUUUUAAUCCCUGGCUUGCCAGCUCAUGCCCAAAGGGAAGGACAGUUCAUCUAGUUGCAUUAGAUGUUUCCCUGACACUGACUGAGGUGAGAGAACAAGGUUUUGGCUCUUAUAGAGCUUGUGUGAAAGGCACAUGGGUCAGCUCUUCCGGCCGUCCUUUAUGCUGCUAUGGUACGUGUUUUGGUCUCUGUUCUAACCACGACUCACGUGUAAGGUUCUUGUCUUUCUAUAUGGGCAGUUGUAGCCACAGACACUCAGCACUCCUCUAGGGCUUUAGGGGUGGCUCUUGGAAGUUUCUUUGGCUGUCUGUGGACUGUCACUUCCCAUGAAAAGGUCACAUUACCAAAACACUGCCUGGUCUUCAGACUUGAAGCACUGUGAUAGGACUUUAAAUAGUCAUAAUAAAAUACUAUAUCUUUAUGGGCAUUUCACAAACACAGUAAAAUUGUGACAUUUUAUGUGGCUGAGAAUGCUCAGAUAAGUAUACCAGAUAGAGCCUUAUGGAGUGUGUGUGAUAUUUGUGUGCACACAUAGCCAGACAGACAGGAAGAUGAAAAAUGCUUAUUUUAACAUAUAAUAUGGCUUUAGUUUUGGGCCAUUUUUUUUUCAGAUACACUGUGAUAAGGUUUUUUAUAUAAAUAUCUCUAGUCAUGGGACCCAUUUUGUUUUUUCAGAUGUGUUUAAUGGUAGUUUUAUUAAGUGCAAAAAUACGGAUGAAUUCAAAUUAUUCAACAUGCCUACACGGUAAGUGUGACUUGCUAGGGCAAGUUAGCUCUCAAGGGCUGAGCUCCAAGUCUAAAUAGCUGGCCCAUUUGUGAGGAAUUAACACUUGACUAAUAACCAUUGUCUGUCUGUUCCUGAGAUAUAAAAGCACCCAUACUUGUUAAAGUACCUAUACUUGUUAGCACUAUCAGACAGAUUUUUCAUCUACAUAUAUGCAGAAGUUACCCCUUAUUAAAUAUUACUGAGUAUUAAGUAGCUAUCUGUCAGCCACUAAAUUUGUAAGAUCUAUUUAAGAAAGGCCAUUAAACCAUACCGUGUUGACUUGUUUUUGUAAUCAAGGUGACUAAGGAAAUAAUUUCAGUUGUGUAAAUAAAAUAAAUCAUAAAAUGUG